AGGUGGAAGAGUUAUUAAGAUAUCUGGAGGACAAAAUAGGUGCUAUAUCCACUGAGAUACCCACUCAAAGACAGAGCCAGAAUGAAUGAUGGCAGAGACGAAAGGUGGGAGGAACUGAGGAUUGCUUUAUUUCCAGAAGUUCUAUCAUCUUCACCAAAUGGUUAAUUUGGACUUGACAGCGGCCAAUUACAUGUGUCCCGUGCAUUGGCUUCGAGCACAGCAUUCAAA